rnacentral:tRNA from 1 species
GUGGCUCAGUGGUAGAGUGCUUGUCUAUCAUGCAGGAAGCCCUGAGUUCAAUUCCUCAGC